UACGGAAGGUCCCGGCGUUAUCCGGAUUUAUUGGGUUUAAAGGGAGCGCAGGCGGUGGUUUAAGCGUGACGUGAAAUGCAGCGGCUCAACCGUCUGAAGCGCGUCGCGAACUGGAUCACUUGAGUGGGUGCGAGGUAUGCGGAAUUCGUGGUGUAGCGGUGAAAUGCUUAGAUAUCACGAGGAACCCCGAUUGCGAAGGCAGCUUACCAGUCCCUUACUGACGCUAAAGCUCGAAGGUGCGGGUA
rnacentral:rRNA from 1 species